GGUCAGGACGAACGCUGGCGGCGUGCUUCAAACAUGCAAGUCGAACGGAACUCAAGGGAGCUUGCUUCUGAGAGUUAGUGGCGGACGGGUGAGUAACGCGUGAGCAAUCUGGCUAUUACAGGGGGAUAACACUUGGAAACGAGUGCUAAUACCGCGUAUGACCACAACCUGGCAUCAGGAAGGGGUGAAAGGAGAAAUCCGGUAAUAGAUGAGCUUGCGUUCAUUAGCUAGUUGGUGAAGGUAACGGCCCACCAAGGCAACGAUGAAUAGCCGAUCUGAGAGGAUGAACGGCCACACUGGAAUUGAGAGACGGUCCAGACUCCUACGGGAGGCAGCAGUUAGGAAUAUUGGGCAAUGGAGGAAACUCUGAACCCCAGCAACGCCGCGUGAAGGAAGUAAGGUUUUCGGAUUGUAAACUUCUGAUCUGUGGGAAGAAGAAAGUGACGGUACCACAGGAGAAAGCCACGGCUAACUACGUGCCAGCAGCUGC
rnacentral:rRNA from 1 species